rnacentral:rRNA from 1 species
UACGAAGGGGGCUAGCGUUGCUCGGAAUCACUGGGCGUAAAGCGCACGUAGGCGGAUCUUUAAGUCAGGGGUGAAAUCCUGGAGCUCAACUCCAGAACUGCCUUUGAUACUGGGGAUCUCGAGUCCGGAAGAGGUGAGUGGAACUCCGAGUGUAGAGGUGAAAUUCGUAGAUAUUCGGAAGAACACCAGUGGCGAAGGCGGCUCACUGGACCAAUACUGACACUGAGGAGCGAAAGCCAGGGGAGCAAACGGG